rnacentral:rRNA from 1 species
GGAGGAUCCGAGCGUUAUCCGGAUUUAUUGGGUUUAAAGGGAGCGUAGAUGGUUGUUUAAGUCAGUUGUGAAAGUUUGCGGCUCAACCGUAAAAUNGCAGUUGAUACUGGAUAUCUUGAGUGCAGUUGAGGCAGGCGGGAUUCGUGGUGUAGCGGUGUAAUGCUUAGAUAUCACGAAGAACUCCGAUUGCGAAGGCAGCCUGCUAAGCUGCAACUGACAUUGAGGCUCGAAAGUGUGGGUAUCAAACAGGAUUAGAUACCCUGGUAGUCCACACGGUAACGAUGAAUACUCGCUGUUUGCGAUAUACAGCAAGCGGCCAAGCGAAAGCGUUAAGUAUUCCACCUGGGGAGU